rnacentral:tRNA from 1 species
GGCCGCGUGGCGAAACUGGCAAACGCACCUGUUUUGGGUACUGGUGGGCGAUUGCUCUUCCGGGUUCGAGUCCCGGCGCGGCCA